ensembl:snRNA U2 U2 spliceosomal RNA
AUCGCUUCUCUGCCUUUUGGCUGAGAUCAAAGUUAGGAUCUGUUCUUAUCAGUUUAAUAUCUGAUAUUAAACUGAUAAAGCACUGUCCCCACACACU